UACGUAGGGUGCGAGCGUUGUCCGGAAUUAUUGGGCGUAAAGAGCUUGUAGGCGGUUUGUCGCGUCUGCUGUGAAAAUCCGGGGCUCAACCCCGGACUUGCAGUGGGUACGGGCAGACUAGAGUGUGGUAGGGGAGACUGGAAUUCCCGGUGUAGCGGUGGAAUGCGCAGAUAUCAGGAGGAACACCGAUGGCGAAGGCAGGUCACUGGGCCGCAACUGACGCUGAGGAGCGAAAGCAUGGGGAGCGAACAGG
rnacentral:rRNA from 1 species